rnacentral:sRNA from 1 species
GAGUGCCGAAGGAUUGAAAGAUGAAGGUGGAGCGAGUAAGAGUAAUUAUUACUGUUGCGGAAGGAUAAUAAACUAUGAAGGUGUUCGAUAGGAACUUCCUGGCUCUCAAAAAGGCAGAAGAGAGGAUAGCAUCUUUAUCAGAUGCGUCGUAAACGCAAAAUGCGGCUUAUCUGUAAUUCCCAUGUGUGCGGGCAAAUGGGAUAAAAGCACACCUACA